UGAAGUUUCAAAAGACAAUAGUAACCACACAGCAUGGAGAAAAGUGCUGGGAAAGGCACCAGAGAGUGCAGAGUCCAGCUCAGGAUACACCGGAAUCUACCAUAUGUAAAUUUUGCUGCUGCUGUCUCUUUGGAUUUGGGCCAUUUUUAAGAGGUGUAACACUCACUGUGAAGUUCUGUAGCUCCAUUCUUCAAGUUAGCGAGACCACGAACCUGCCGGAAGGAACCAACUCCGGACAUAGCAGAUCAAGAAGGCAGUCAGAAGUGGGAGGUACAUUUAUGCCAAUAAGAAGAUGAGUUGUGAUUUGGAAAACCGUGGGGCAGGAGAGGGCAUGCAGCAUCGUCAGUCAUUCCUGCCAGUCGGCAAAAAAACUUUUUAUGGUUCACUGAGGACAAUCAACUCCUUCACAAUCUAGAACCCGAAGAUUGGAUCCUCUGAGACAUCAGAGAAAGAUUGCUUUAGCCAUCCUCACUGCAGUAAAACUUCAGGACCUCGAGCCUUGGGUUCAUAAUCUCACAACUGAGAAGGGUCCCUCCACACUGUUGAACUGUACACCCAUUGGAACCCUUAAGGUAAAGCUAACCAGGGAAGUUUCUCCCUAAGAAGAAGAUGGCAUCCUU
rnacentral:lncRNA from 1 species